GGUGCGCGGCGCGGUUCUCGUCGCCCGCCAACCCUGCCCCCUCACCUCUCCGGGGGCCCCUAACACGCGCACCCCUCCUCUUGUCGCCUGCGGCUUCCUCUUGUUGUUCGUUGUUUGGCUGGGUUUUGGGGGGUGAGUAGGGGGGUUACUGUAGUGUGUGUGCAGGCGGAGGAGGAAGUCAGGUGAGAGGCCGCGAAGCACCCCCACCCCAACCCAGCCUGCGUGGGGUGUAUGCUUCCCCACUAGGGGCAUGUGGGCCAUUUUUUUUUUUUUCCUCUGUCAAUGUUCGGUGGAGACGAUGUUUCCUAGAGGGCCUCCUUCACUUACAGCCUGGUCUGUCCAUCUCCCUUCAUCCCACUCUCGUCCCUCUUAGCCCCCUAUCCAGGAGCCCUGCACCCGAAGUGAGGAGCACGUGGCGGAAGGAGGAGGAGGCCCUCUCUUGAAGACCCCCACGCUGUGACCCAACCCAUUUGUUUAAAUAUCCUCACGUUACCAGCUGUACUUUUCAACCCACUGGAACAAGACGCCUAGGCAAGGUCCAAUUUCCCCAAAAAGCUGGGGGCAAAGCGGGAGAGAUGAGGAUUUUAUUGACAUUGGGAGAGAAGGGGCCAAGGAACCUUCCCAAGUGGAGACUGAAACUCAAAAAAUCUCUACAAAAAGACUAGGGUGACUGGAGGCUCAGGACUGCAGGCUUAGGAGAAACUGGAGCUCCAUCAACUUUAUUUCUCUGCCCCUGCCUCUCCUCCCCCCAGCUCUGAGGAAGCUAACAGGUCUUUUGUUUUGUAUUGUGUAGCCUUUGGGAAAUUUGCAUUGAGUAUGUCAACAGAAAAUUACUACUGUUUACUCAAAGUUAAAGGGAUUGCAGAAAGAGAAAACAUAGUUUUUACUUUUCCUCUUUUUUGUACGUGUGUGUAUUUGGCAAGAAGUGUAGUUAGGUUCAUGGCAUGAACUGCAAAACGUCAGGUUAUAACAAUAAGGACUGUGGAGCUGCCUAGGUGUAUUUUUAGAAGCCGCACUUUCUUGAAUGCCUUUCACAAAAGGCUUGCUCUCUCAUUAAGUCCCCAUAAAUAAUUUUAUUUAGAGAGGAGGAAACUAUGGAAGCAGGAGGGAGAUUGCUAAGAUUUCCAUCCUGCCAGCGCACAGCACUGUUUGCAGGGAAGUUCCUGGAAAGUGAUUGUGGGCUGAGAAUUCAGUUUUUCCUAAAAGCUCUGUUAGGUCCUGUUGUGUCAGAUGGCUAUGAAUAAAGCACGCUGGGAAAAUCCUGAUAUCCGUGCAGUCUUAUUUUAUCUUUUACACAGUGGUUGAUUCGACUUUCAAGCCCUGGUGACAAACACAUCAACUCUGCUGUAUUUUUGUGUGCUUUUUCUAAAUAAAGGAGAAUACAGCAUGUAUUCAUGCUGCUUUUUUUCCCUCAUCCAUGGUUAUUGAAUUCGCUGGAAUUUAUUCAUCUUUUUUCAGUUGAUCAUCAUUUUAUGCCGAGACCACAAUUCCAAACAUACAGGAAUUUUUUAAAAUUAUGAAUUAGGGUUCUUUUAGGGAACCAACCCUCCUUUUUAAAGAUACAAGUGCCCACCACGACUCCUAGUUUUGUAAAGCAAAGCAAAAAGGUAUAAAUGAUUAUAAUGAGCAAAACAUAGUAAAACGUUUUCCUUCUUGGAUCACUUUCUGCGCCCACAGGUCCCAGGAGACAUUAAAUCCUCCUGCCUUAAUUUACCAAAAAUGCUGCAUUUCCUAACCAGUAACAAUAUCUCUGUCUGAGAAAGACAUCAGGUUUUGAAUGGAAAAAAAUACAUUCUCAGUAUUUAAUUACUACUUAACAGUAAUUUAUGGUAGCAGGCAGUUGAUUUUCCAAUUCUGAAAGCCUGAAAUGAAGCUGAACAGAAAUUUGAAAUUUUUAAAAAAGGUUUUUUUUUCUUUCUUACACUCUUAUAUACUCAUCUGCUUCCCCAAGUUAUCAGCCAAGCCCCUAUAACUGUAAGUAUGAUAUGCUCCUCUGAGUUGAACCAAGAGACAUUUUGCCCCUCAUUUUUUGAAUUUGCUUUUUCCUCCAAGUUGUCUUGUAUAGAAAGCACAUGGGCUCUGUUAGAAUACAGAAUUAUGUAAUUCUGGGUGCAGUGCAUUAAAUAACAUAGCUUGAUAAACUCUUAAGCCUUACACCUCCACAUAGUAGGGGUUUAUUAAAUAUUAAGAUGUUAAUAAAAUAUUGUAGUUGGCCACAAAUUUCAUAGCACAAGGCUAAGAUCAUUUUUCAGAAGAAAGGGGCAUUUAAUCUGGAUUAUUUGGUUAGUUGCUAUGGUCUGAAUGUUAGUGUUCCUCCAAUAUUAGGGUUCAUGUGUUAGAACCUAAUAUCAAAAGUGAUAGUAUUAAGAAGUAGGGCCUUUGGGAAGUGAUUAAGUCAUGAAGGCUCCAACCCUCAUGAGUGAGAGGAGUGCCUUUAUAAGACAGGCUGAAUCUAGCUACCUUGCCCCUGCCACUAUGUGAGGACACAGCAACAAAAGUGCCAUCUGUGAAGCAAGGAGUGAGCCUUCACCAGACACUGAAUCUGCUGGUGCUGUAAUCUUGGACUCCCCAGCUUCCAGAACUGUGAGCAAUAAAUUUCUGUUGCUUAUAAAUUACCCAGUCAAAGAUAAUUUGUUAUAGCACCUCGAAUGAACUAACACGAUAAUAUAUUUGUGCUACUAGAUUUUUUUUAACAAGUCCAAAUCUAACUUAAAUGACUGAAAGACAAAUCUGGAACAUAUCAAAUGGCCAAUAAUAGUAGCUGGUAUCAAAAGCUACACUGGUUAUUUCCUUGAAAGAAUAGACAAUACAAUAUUGCCUACUAAAUAUUAGAAGGAAGAUCAAGGGAAAGGAUAAAACAGCAUUGGCCUUGAAGGAACUUAUUUGCUGGAAAAAAGACAUCAAAAUGUGAAAAGACAAUGGAUCAGUUAGUGGUUUAAAUCAAAGAAAUACUUGAGGAAAAAAAUUUAUAUAUAUGUAUGUAUUUUUCUUUUCUUUUAAGACCGGAAGAAUCAGAGAUCCUAAAGCUCUAGGUUGGAAGGUAUUUUUAAAGUUCAUUUGUUCUGUCAAAUCUUUAGAGGCCAUUCAAUGCAGACAUUUUGGGUGUGAAGGGGAACUUACUACUUUCCACCAUUAAGGCAAGGAUUUUUACCUAUACAGUACUUACCAGAGAAUAGAGUUCACUAUAUAUUGUGCAAGUGAAUGGAUAAUUUCAAAAGUAUUUCAGUUUAUCUUUAUAUACUUUAUUAUGUUUUUACCUUAUAUAUAUUUUUUUACCUUAUAUUGCACAGAAUUAGUCUUCCUGAAACUUCCAACCAUUAGUCUUCGUCCUGCCAGUUGCAGCCAAACAGAACAAAUUUGUUUAUCAGUCAAGAUAGGCAAUGUUGUGCUGGAGUAACAAUUCCAAUUUUUUAGUGGCCUGUAACAGCAAACGUUUUCUUGGUUAUGGUUUGAAUCCAUUGCAGUCCAGCUGGUCUGUUCCGUGUCUGUCACUCCAGGUCCCUGGCUAAUGGAACAGUUGCCAUCUUGAAUGUUUCAUGUUAUGGCAAAAAUAAAGAUCACUCUGGAGGGUUUCAUGGUGACAUUUAAAUGCUAUGGCCUGGAAAUGACAUACAUCAUAUGACCUCACAAAGAAUUAACCAGGAUUAGUUGUGCGGCUCCAAAGAAUCAUGACAAGGAGAUCAGAUAGUGCAGCCUAUCUUGUACCCAACAGUAGAGAGCUGUGGUACACAAUUCUGUGGACUACUGCCUGGUGGUAAUCCUUGUCCAUAUGAUAACCUGCCAGCUAAACAGUCUCUUCCUGUCACUUUAUGGCCCAAGUCUUCCAUUUUUUAGGGCAAACACUGCCAGAGUAGCCACCAGCUUAGAGGGAAACAUUGUUAUCAGGGGAACCCACCCCCAAUAUUUCAACGUAGAUUCUUUCUAUUUUCCCUAAGUGUCGGCCAGUCUGAGCAAUAAAGAGAAAGAGUACAAAGGGAAGAAUUUUACAGCUGGGCCGCUGGGGAUGACAUCACAUAUCAGUAGAUCUGUGAUGCCCACCUGAGCUGCAAAACCUGCAAGUUUUUAUUAGGGAUUUCAAAAGGGGAGGGGGUGUAUGAACCGGGAGUAGGUCACAAAGAUAACCUGCUUCAAAGGGCAAAAGGCAGAGCAAAGAUCACAUGCUUCUGAGGAAACAGGACCAGAGCAAAAUCAGAAACUCCUGAUAAGGGUCUAUGUUCAGUGGUGCACGUAUUGUCUUGAUAAACAUCUUAACAGAAAACAGGGUUUGAGAGCAGAGAACCAGUCUGACCUCAAAUUUACCAGGGCUGGGGUUUCCCAAUCCUAGUAAGCCUGAGGGUACUGCAGGAGACCAGGGCGUAUCUCAGUCCUUAUCUCAACCGCAUAGGACAGACAAUCCUGGAGUGGCCAUUUGUAGACCUCCCCCCAGGAGUGCAAUUCUUUUCCUAGGGUCUUAAUAUUAUAUUCCUUGCUAGGAAAAGAAUUUAGCGAUAUCUCUCCUGCUUGCACGUCUGUUUAUAGGCUCUCUGCAAGAAGAAAAAUAUGGCUCUUUUUUCCCGACCCCAUAGGCAGUCAGACCUUAUGGUUGUCUUCCCUUGUUCCCUGAAAAUCGCUGUUAUUCUGUUCUUUUUCAAGGUGCAGUGAUUUCAUAUUGUUCAAACACACGUUUUACAAUCAAUUUGUACAGUUUAACACAAUAGUGGUCCUGAGGUGAUGUACAUUCUCAGCUUAUGAAGAUAACAGGAUUAAGAGGUUAAAGACAGGCAUAAGAAAUAUAAAAGUAUUAAUUUGGGGAACUGAUAAAUGUCCAUGAAGUCUUCACAAUUUAUGUUCAGAGAUUGCAGUAAAGACAGGUGUAAGAAAUUAUAAAAGUAUUAAUUUUGGGAACUGAUAUGUGUCCAUAUUAAAGUGAAAUCUUCACAAUUUAUGUUCCUCUGCUGUCACUCUAGCUGGUCCCUCUGUUCGGGGUCCCUGACUUCCUGCAACACAUUGUGUGACUUCUUUUACUCCCUACUGUCUCUUUGAAUGCAACACUGCAACCUCCUGUACCCUUAGAACCCCUAACAAAGUGUAGCCUCCUAUCAAUUUUAUGUCACUCUUUUAUAUUUACUAAUAUUAUAUACAUUCUAUUUUCUCAGGACUUACUUUCCUGGCAAGGGUAUAAUAAACAGGCAUUUUUAACAACUGUUAUCUGAAAAUGUCAUGAUCGUUAUCAAAAUUUGAAAUGUGGUCUUGAGUAGCUACUUCCCUUGUUGUGAACGUCAAAUGUGUUAUACGAUUUUGUAACACAAAUUUUAAAAAUCUUCAUUCAUUCAUUUAUCCUACUUUUGCUCAUUCAAUAAAUAUUCAUUUUCUAUCUAGUAGAAGGCAGGCACUCUUUUAAGGACCGGGGAUAUGGAGAUGAUUAAGAGUUCUCCUCUUCAAGAAACACAUUUUCUGAUUGGGCAGACAGAAUUAAAAGUCAUUAUAAUGCUAAUAGAAGCACAAAGUGUUAUGUGAACACUUAGAAAGAAGCAAAUAGCUAGCUGGCAGGAUUUAGAAAAGUUCCAUAGAGGAAUUGACACUUAAACUAAGUCUUGAGGAUAAGUGAGACUUCUCCAGGCAGAAAGAGGAGGGAGAGAGGGGAUAUUUCAACCAAGGAGACCAGCAUGGACAAAGACACUGAACAUGACAAAACUUAUUGUUUAUGGAACUAUAAGGAAUUCAGUGAGGCUGGCACAUGGGGUCUUUGUAAACGCUGAAAAUUCUGAAGGGCCUUGCAGACAUUCUCUGGAGUUCGGACAUUAUCCCAUACAUCAGGAAUUGCAAACUCUUAUGUCUACCUUGGGCCAUGCAUGGAUGUGCAUGAUUAAAGCAGACCAAGUUAAGACUAUAAGCAGUGGUGGGGCUGUGGCAACGUGAAGAAUAUAUCCUCUGUCCAAAUGGGAUAGUAAAUGCCAUUGAUGCCUCCAUUCUCCAAAGAAAAGCAGGAAAUUUAGAUUUAUAUGAAAAAUUGAAUAUUAAGUGUUGUCAACUUAUCCAUAUUUUGAAGUACACUGUUAGUCCUUAAGCUAAUUUUGACCUACAGACACAUUUUGUAUAGCUUUUGCAUGUAUAUUUCUACUGAAGGUCAAAGUGUUUAUACCCAUUGGAGAACAGUAGCCACUCUUUAUCUGCAAGUUAUAUGUUCCAAGAUCCCCAGUGGAUACCUGAAACUGUGGAUAGUACUGAACUGUAUGUAUACUGUUUUGUCCUAUACAUACAUACCUGUGAGGAAGUUUAAUUUAUAAAUUAGGCACAGUAAGAUAUUACUAACAAUAGCUAAUAAUAAAAUUGAAUAGUUAUGAUACACUGUAAGAAAAGAGACUAUGAUCUCUCUCUUUCAAAGUUAUCUUAUUACACUGUACUCACCUAUUUUCAGACUGCAGUUGACCUCAGGUAACUGAAACUCCAGAAGAGAAACCUCAAAUAAAGGAAGACUAUUGCCUAUUUUAUCUCAACCUAUCCCAUAGCCAUGUGCCUAAGGACUGUCUUGAGGAUAUUUAAUUUUUGUUAUUUUUUUAAUUGAGUCCACUAAUUACUUACUCUUCCUAGCUGCUCUCUUGCUUUGAUGCCAGACUUGCCUGCCACUCAAUAGUCAGAAAUAUGCAGCAACACCCCACACUUUCCUAUAACCAUUAUAAUAUUAGAAAUACUAGGUAUCCUUUCAUAACGCAUGCUGACCAUUUUCUUGUAGAUUUGGUCCCAUGGGUACAUCCAUAUUCUUAAAGUCAUUCAAUUCACUGGGCCAUCAGGUCUUUAAGUUCUUGACAACUUGGCUCUACAGAUUACAAAUUUUAUUCGAUCUUCUUGACUAAAAGAAAGUCAACGUUCCUGAGUUGUUUUAUCUAACUUAUAAACAAUAAAAGUCAUCCAUUUUAUGUGUUCUGUGAGUUUUGAAUAUGAAGGGGCAGCAUGAGCAAAUUAUAUUUUAUGUGAACUUUGGAGUAAAUAAAUACAUCUAGGCAAAGCCACUUUAGGUGUCCAACUGUCUGGAUUCUAAUCCUGGUUCAAUUAGUUGCUACCUAUGUGACCUAGAGCAAAUCUCCUAAUUUCUUUAUGCCUCAAUUUCCUCAUCCAUGUUACAGGGAUGCUAAUAGUAGAUGGGGUUAGUAGAUGCAGAGUGCUUCAGAAUAGAAAAAUGAAUUUACUAGGAUGUAAGGGGGAUAUAAGUACUUACUCCUGGAUGACAUGAUGUUGUGCUGGGGGUACACAAGCCAAAGAAGAAUUAUGGCUUGUAUUUCUGGAAUAUUUAUUUUUUACUUGAGGAUUUUAGAAAUUAUUUUCUUAUGAAAAAAGUCACACAUAUAAUGGAAUUAACUGUAGCAUUUUGCAUGAAUUUUAAAGAAAAAUAAGAGUCUUUAAAAAUCUUUCAGCUGCUUCGGACUUUGGGGGGAAGAAUGGGAACUGCAUUUUCUUCCUUUUGCUGCACUCUCUCCUUUUUCAGAAAUAGAAAUCAAAGAUAUAGAGGAAAAACUUCAUAACUUCAUAAACAUCCAAGGAAAUGAAUAGAGUUAAAUGGAUAAGAGAGCCCCUAGGUGACCAGGCAAAAUGACAGUUCCCUCCAGCUGGUCCUCAGAUGGGCACAUCUAUUAGCCUCUGCUCUUGUAAGAAGUUAGCUGCAGAACCCACGUGUGAAUCCUUGUAGGACUCUGGAGAAGAUCAAAUGGGAGCUUGGAUGUGGAAGCUCUUUGGAAACCAAGAAACACUCUGCAAAUGAAAAGGGUAUCUUUUUUCCUUUUCUCCCUUGUACCAUAAAUUUCAUGAUGGCGCUUAACAGAGCUAGUCAUUUUGGUAUUUAAAAAAUGUUUGGUGAAAUAAUUAGUUAUUGGUUGAAUGAAUGAAUUUAUAAGUGAAUACAUGAAUUAAACAAAGGUAUGGAGUAGGAAAGCACAUAAUAUGAGCAGAGAAUAAGGGGUUCUAUUUGGAAGCAUGCACUAGAACUGGAUGUUAGGGAUGUGAAUGUGGCUAGCUGGAAUGGGUCUGUGGUUCUCACAAUGUGAUCUGUUGACCAGCAGUGUCAAUACCACCUGUUAACUUGUUAGAAAUGCAAAAAGAAUUAUGAAUUUGAAAUUCAGGGUGGGACCCAGCAAUCUGUUUCUCUCUAAGUCAUUCUGACGCAUAGCAAAAUUUUGAGAACCAUGACUUUGUAUUAAGGUGGGGAGUUUGGAAAUUAUUUUUCUGUAAGUUCAGUGCUAAUGAAGAUUUUCAACUGUGGGUGGAUAUAAUCACUGCUGUAUUUCUAGGAUGAUGAGGCAGGUGGUUGUACCUACAAUAUCUAUGACUUCAGCAUUAAAAGGACAAUUAGAAGUACUGGAAAACACACUGUAUUUUCCAAGCUCCAGAGAUGAAGAUUUUGUUUUUUCCUAUUUCCAAAUAAUAUCCCCAUACUUACCUAAGAGGCAAAGCAGAACAAGCAUUGCUCCCAGGCACUGGGAAAACCCACUUGGUCUGCAGAGGCCAGGCAGGAUGAGAAUGUUUAUGUGAAAAAAAAAAUGAGAGCAGACUGUCAAAUAUGGCCCCAACCUUUCUGCAGAGAGAGGAGUAAGUAAGCCUUUAGUCCUGACCAACUGUGGGAAAACAUUAAAUGGAACCUUCCAAAUUGGUUUAAAGUGGGCAGCUAAGCCUAUGCCAAGGACUAAGCCAACUGCACUGGCUACAAACACACCUAUGUCUUUAGGGCUGGUGGAUACAAAUCUGCCAAAGGAGAGCACAUUACAUGGAGGAAGAAGGAAGAGCUGCAGGGAAACAUUUAUCCUAAAGGGGAAAGAGUCAAGACAGAGAUAUCAUGGGUCAGUUGGGAAGGAGAUGGAGGGGAGAGGCAGGAGGUGAGCUGUUCAGAUUGCUAGCAUGACCAAUCCAGAUGGCUAGGAUGACCAGUCAUCCUGGUUUGCCCAAGAGUGAGGGAUAGCCCACGUCAUAGGAUUUCCAGGACAAUCCUUGUCAAAGCGGGACAAUUAGUCACCUUAAGACUCUGCCGUUUCACCUGUGUUCAAGACCUGGGGAGAAGGCAUAAUAAAAAUAGAAAAAAUCACUGCUAUCAACCUCGCUUCUCAAAAUAUUGUCCAGAAACUAGCAGCAUAGGCUUCACCUGGGAGCUUGUUAGAAAUGCAGAUACUCAGGCAUCCUAGACCUACUGAAUCAGAAUCUGCACAUUAACAAGAGCCCUGAGUGAUUUGUAUGCACAUUAGAGUUUGUCUCAAAAGAUCUUGUGGCAUCCCACAGUAAAUAAUGGAGCACAAAUAGCAGAAAUAAUUUCCUCUGGGCUGUAAUAUGGCUAAUAUCCAGGUUGAUCGGAUACUAAGCUAAAACCAGAUCAACCUUGCCUGGGAAGGACACAACCUAGGGAUGGAGAGCAACCCAGGCAGAGAGGGAGAAAGAUGGCUGACACAAAUUAGCCAAGAGGGGACCUCCUGAACUAUUAAUAGUAGUAGUAUUUGUAGGGAAUGUGAGAAAAGCCAGCAAGCCAGCAAUUGUAUGGUAAGAAUAAAGCUAGAGAAAUUAAUGUUGCCAGUACUGUGACCCUAUUUUUACCACUUCUAGGCUGAUGUGGGCUGGGAAAUGGGUUAUGCUUAGAAAUGUGGAGCCUGCCCGGUGUGGUGGCUCACACCUGUAAUCCUAGUACUUUGGGAGGCCGAGGAGGGCGGAUAACCUGAGGUCAGGAGUUCAAGACCACCCUGACCAACAGGGAGAAACCCUGUCUCUACUAAAAAUACAAAAUUAGUCUGCCGUGGUGGUGGAUGCCUGUAAUCCCAGCUGCUUGGGAGGCUGAGGCAGGAGAAUCGCUUUAACCUGGGAGGUGGAGGUUGUGGUGAGCCGAGAUCACACCAUUGCACUCUAGCUUGGGUGACAAAAGUGAAACUCCGUCUCAAAAAAAAAAAAAAAAAAGGAAAGAAAGAAAUGUGGAGCCACAGGUAGUAAGCUUCUAGCAGUAAGCUUGUAGAGAAAAAUCCAAAAUGAUCAUCCACUAAAAGUGUUCAACUCCAGAUCUUGGCCUCAUCCACUUGCAUAUCACUCAAAUAUAGUGUGCAAAGAAAGUUUAGUUUUCUUUCUUUUUUCUGCCUGGUCUGAUCUUCAUGGGCUCCAGGUCUGCAGUCUAGCAGGGAUAAUUGACACUUAAUUAAUAGUGUUUCAUUCUCCUCUGGCUUGAACAUACUUCUUUCACUUUCAACACUGAAGCCAGUAGUUCUUAAAAUCAAACAUGCAAACAUGCAUCAGUCACCUGGAGGGCUUGUUAAAACACAGAUUACUGGGUCUGCCCUCAAGGUUUCUGAUUCAGCACAUCUGAGGUGGAGCCCUAGAAUUUGCAUUUCUAAUGAGUUCCCAGGUGAUGCCGACAUUUUGGUCCACAGGCCACACUUUUAAGAACCUCUGAUUCAGACUAUUCAGAGUUUAUUUCAUAUCCAAAAGUGAUUAUUUAAAAAGUAUCUUAGAUUAAUCCUCCUCAAACUGAUUGAUUUUUCCAAUCAUGUACCAAAUACAUAGUCCGAUUGCGCAUGACCAGUAUUCAGCUUUUGCUACAAGCAACUCACCAUGCCAGUUCCACACACCUGAACUGGUUAUAUCCUGUUUAACAAGAUCAGCUCACUGAUCACAUACUAGGAUGUCAUGGAAAUGUCAAUUUAUGAUAGAAGUUUCUAAACAUGAACUUUCAUCUGUAUUUAUCUCACCCCCGAACAGGAACAGUUUGUGGACUGGCACUGGCCCUUGGACCACACUUCGAGUGACAUUGUUAUAGAUGACACUGUCUCUUAUAGGAAAAUGCACAGUCUUUCUUAGAUUCUCUACCUCCCUCUUCCAUCUCGUUCCCAACAUAGAUCUGGGUACAUGAUUAUAGAUCUGGGUCUUAUUAUAAUCUUGUGACACCCUUGGAUCAUGCACUAUCCUCUAAAUAAUCAAUAGUUUCUACUAUAGAGAGGCUCAAUUUAUCUUCUCCCUGGAAUUGGGAGCACUGAAAUAUAACUAGAACCCAACUGAUCUUUUGAGAUGUUGUGUCCUUGCCCUCACUGCUACUGCCAUAGUUCUGAACAUUUCCCCAAGCAUCAAAAAGGCCCCAUGACCUCUUUUCCCCUAGACUUCUGCCAGUCCACCAACACUCUCAGUGGGGAAGUAAGAAGCCUGGUGGAUCCUGCUUCCCACACAAAGGCCAUGAUGAGACAGGUGCUUUCUAAGUCCGAUAUAUCUACCCACCUUCUGCUGUCACCUCUGUACCUCCUGAGUCACAUGAAAUGUGGUGCUGAGCCAAAUGGUCAGUCUUCUAGAAGCAGUGGAAUGUUGGAGGCAGCUUAUAUACCUUAGCUGAUUCUUAAAUUUUCAGGAAUUUUGUGAGACAGUUUUUAAACACAGCAAUUGUUGAAAAUUAAACAAUAUAAACUUAUAAUCAAAUAUAUUAUAUUAAAAAUAAAGAUAAUGCCCUCAACUCAUCACUUCCUAUUUAUUGUUUUACACUUUAGUACUAUCUAUGCUUAUUGUAUGUGUAUGGUGGAAAUACUACAUAAUGAUAUUUAAUGGUGUACUGCCACAUAGCUCUUCCCAACUCUGCAUUCAGUGACAUCACUUUGGUAGCUUGAAAUCAGCCAUGAUAGGAGUAUUUAUAUCUUGGAAAUUGGCAAAUAUGACAAAUCAGCAUUCCACCCUCCCUUACCUCCCCACCCCCCAGCCAGUUGUUAAACAUUUACACAACCACCCAGAGCCUGCAUCUGGGAAAGUGAGCCACUAACCCAAUGACCUGUGAUAACCCUAUACAUAUCUAGCUGUUACUAAGCUGCCCUUCCCAUAAGGGUCCACCCCAAAAAGGUGUGUGUGCAGAGGAGAAUAAAAACUAAAACCCUAAGAUCAUCUUAUUUACUUGCCCUAUUUCUGCCUCUUUUCUCUCCCUGCCAUCUCUGGGGUCCAGAAGUAGAAGCUUUUUAUUUCCUCCAGAGUUUAUUCUUAUACAUCAAGGAUAAACAUUCAUGACCUAACAUCACCUCUCUUGUUUUCUCCCACCAAAGCUAUAAGGAUAGUCUAACCAUGAAAAAACAUUAAACAAACUCAAAAUGGGACAGUCUAUAAAAUACCUAACCAGUUCUCUUCAGAACAGUUAAGGUCCUGAAAGGCAAGGAGAGAACAAGAAACAAUCACAACUUGGAGGACAUUAAUGCACUAAAUUUAAUAUGGUUUCAUAAGUUGGGCUGAAAAGAAAAGGACAGUAGAAAAGCUUGGAUAUGAGAAUACAGUCUGAGUAUAGUACUAGUGUUAAGUUUUUAAUCUCUAACUUGAUGGCAUGGUUAUAGAAAAUACAAACAUUAGGCAAAGCUGGGUGAAAGGUAUACAGGAACUCUACUAUCUAUACAACUUUUCUGUAAACAUAAAAUUAUUUCAAAAUAAAACUAAUAUAAGAAAAAAACAUGGCCUACAUAAUAGAUAGAAUGGAUAUCUUCUCUAGUCUAUGAAAAACCCUGUGUCCUACAUUCACUUGCUUUGUGAUAUAAUAAAAGUGGGAAGGGAAGGGAUGAUAGAAACAUUAUUUCUCUUAAUAAACUUGGAUUUUAAAAUCUUUUGUCUUUUCGCAGCAUAAAACAUUCCACUUAGGAUGCUGUAUGUUGAGCAUUAACUUUCUCUUUCUCUUUUUCUUUAUAGUCUUUCUGUAAUAGUUCAAAUCCUGCCCACCCUGAGGGUGGAUGUUUCUAGAUGAUAAAGGAGGUCAUAAACAGAGAGUAGAUUAAUAUAAUUACCUUUAUUUCAUGUCUAUUUGCAAAUGGGCCAUUGUUCACAUAGUUGCCUCUCUUUCUAAAUGGAAGAAUAGUUGGAGUUGGCAGGGGAAAUACCAGAACUGAGAUGAGUAAAGGUGCUUCAAGACAAUGCUUCUUAAAUUUUGAUUUGUGUUUGCAUCUCGUGGGGAUCUUGUUUAAAGUAGAUUGAGAUUCAGUAUGUUUGGGGAGGGGCCCAUUAAUCUGAUUUUAUAAAAAGUUCCUAGAUGAUGCCAUGCUGCUGGUCUCUGAGAAGCAAGAGUCUGGGGUCCUUUCUAAAGUGUUUCCUCUCUCCUCUAUACAGUCAGAAAAGGAAAGUGCUUACUGGUCAGAGAUUUAAAAGACAUAGGAGAUAUACCAUACUUCUAUAAGACCAGAAACAAAAACAAAGAAGAAACAUAAUAAUCAAAAUAUGACAUUAUUGCACACAAUGAGAUGCAGUAAAAGAUGGACUACUUAGGCAUUCGCUGGAUAUAAGUGAAGCUGCCUUUGGAGUUUAAUUUUAAGUUCUCAGUAACUCACCGUAUUUAGUCAUAUCGUUUCACACACAGACAAAAUUCGUUCUCUACUAAGAAGGAACUAAAGCUCUCAGAAUUACUGAGUUGCACAGUACCAAUUUACAUGAAUUUUUUUCUUCCUCUAAAAGUUUGUAAUGACUAUGGUUCCUGGAAAAUAAUAUUUCAUUUUUUCAAUUCAUACUCUUAAUCUACCAAAAAAACACUCUUCCAAAAAUGUAAGCUAGAAAAACAGGUAAUUUGCUCAUAUCAUAGAGACAACUCAUACCAAUAAAAAAAUACAUUUUAAAAUUUGGAAAAUUACAAUGAAAGAAUAAGGCAUUUUGCAUGCAGAUGUGUUGUGUUUUUACUCCACAAUAUUGGGAGCUUCCAAAGUGUAACAUGCAUUUACAGAGCCACUCUCUUAGCAUUUAAACUGGGAGGCAUUUUUCGAGAAGCGUGAGUCUUGCUCAGUGGUCCUGUAGCCACUCUAGCAAUCUCACACGGUACAUGACUUAUAAAUAUUGUGUGUGCUUGAUGGAAGUAGACCUGACUUUGCUAAUCACUUACUAGUUCUUUUGCCCAGUAUUUCUUUGUUUUGGAAGCAACUUUGUUUAGCUUACCAAAUGUAUAUUGUCUAAUUUGCAGGAAAUAUAAAUAAUAUUACAAAUAGCAAAAUGGGGUUGUAUGUGCAGAUUUCUGCAUCCUGCUGGGCCCUGUCAUGUUUAGUAAUAGCUUUUCCUUGUGCUGUUGCCACUGCCAAACAGACUUCUUAUGUGAUCUUUGGCUUUCUUAACACCUCUUUGGGGAUCAAUAAAGUGUUUCUUUUUUUUCUUAGAUGCCAACUUCAUCUGUCUUUAAGAAUACAAUAUUAGUUUAAAAGACUGUUCAACUUAAAGCAGUCUUGUAGAGAUUGUCACCCAUGAUUGAUGCUGGGUGAGUAGAAAGGAAAAUGUUGAUUUUAUCCUCUGCCUUUCAGAUCUUUGAAGGGGAAAGUGGGCUAGUUUUUUAAACUGCAGUCUGAUCAAAUGUUUCAAAAGUUGUUCAAAAGUAAUCUUAGUCCAACACUGCUCUUCUGACUUUUAUCUAGAGAAAUGGAAAAGUUUAUAUAUUAACCAUUUGUUUCUUUUAAGUACUUGUGUACAUUUUUCUCUUGCAAUAAGUAUUAAUAAUUGAAAAUUAUUAAAUUUUCAUUUUAAUGUUUUUUAUUAAGUUUGAUAUGUUUCUUAGAAAUGAAGACCUGUGGCUCAAAUAGGAGCAGACAAUUCAUGUAAUCAAAUUUUAAAUUCAAGCAGAGCUAUCAUACCAACAUAUUUGUAUUUCUCUUUGUCUUGGAAUUAUUGGUUUGUUUAAAAUAAUAAGUGUAGCCAAUUAUUUUGUUAUUCUGUUAUUUAAAAUAUAAAUUUGCUGUCUAAAAUUUUUUAUGUAAAGGUGAGUGUAUAAAUGAAUAUAAAUAUAAAUAAAUAACUAAU